UACGAUACUGCGGGUAUCCGUGGUCGUU
rnacentral:sRNA from 1 species